rnacentral:rRNA from 1 species
UACGAAGGGGGCUAGCGUUGUUCGGAAUUACUGGGCGUAAAGGGCGCGUAGGCGGCGUGUCAAGUCAGGCGUGAAAGCCCCGGGCUCAACCUGGGAAUGGCGAUGGAUACUGGCUCGCUAGAGUGCGGUAGAGGAGAGUGGAAUUCCCGGUGUAGCAGUGAAAUGCGUAGAGAUCGGGAGGAACAUCAGUUGCGAAGGCGGCUCUCUGGACCAGCACUGACACUGAGGCACGAAAGCGUGGGGAGCAAACAGG